AAGGAUCAUUAAUGAAUUUUAGGACUCUCUUUUUAGAGGUCCGACCCUUUCAUUUCCUUACACUGUGCACACACUUCUUUUCACACAUUUUAACACUAUAGUAUAAGAAUGUAACAGUCUCUUCAUUGAGCAUAAAUAAAAAUAAAACUUUCAGCAACGGAUCUCUUGGGUCUCGCAUCGAUGAAGAACGCAGCGAAUUGCGAUAAGUAAUGUGAAUUGCAGAAUUCAGUGAAUCAUCGAAUCUUUGAACGCACCUUGCACUCUUUGGUAUUCCGAAGAGUAUGUCUGUUUGAGUGUCAUGAAACUCUCAACCCCCCUAUUUUGUAAUGAGAUGGGGGUGGGGUUGGAUUAUGACUGUUGUCGGGGUAAUUGCCGGGUCAGUUGAAAUACACGAGCAACCCAUUUGAAAUAAACGGGUUGACUCGGGGUAAUAAUUAUUUCGCUGAGGACGUUUUCUUCAAAAGUAAGAGGUGCUUCUAAUGCGCUUUUAUAGCAUUUAUAUUUUAGACCUCAAAUCAGUCAGGACUACCCGCUGAACUUAA
rnacentral:rRNA from 1 species